AUGAUGUGGGACCCCACUGUGGGUAGAACUGUGCCGCCCCGGGUUCCACCGCUGCCCGGUGCUCACUGUGCAUCCGCAGAUCUUCCGAAGCACUCGUGCUCCAGAUCUGGCUCACAGCGACCCGACUCUCCCGCUCUCCCAAAAGCUCAGUACUCCCACUCUCCUCAGUACCCCAACUCUCCCACUCUCCCCAGUACCCCGGUGCAUAAGGGGGAGGUGCUCACACAGCGACAGGUCACAGGUGAGUGGCUGCUGAUGCCUGCUCCCCGCAGGCCAUUCUGGUGCCUGUGGGUCUUGGGUGGGGGCGCUGGUCUCCAGGGCUGGGGUCCAAAACACCCCAACCCCAAUGCGAUGACCGUGAGUAGCUCCUGCAGCCCUUCCACAGCCUCACAGGGUGAGGGCGGCCCCCCAAGGCCCUGUCCAGGGAAGGAGGCUGCAGUUGGAGUUCAGCAGCUCCCCCAGGACCCCUGCUCCCCUGUAAGCCCUGUGCUGUGCAGGGAUACCCAAUAUAUGACCUUUCUAGCCCAUCUUAGAUGCAUGGACCCCGACAGGGAUGACACCCCCCCGGCCCCACCCUGUGGUCAGAGAAGAACGGUCAGGGCCGCUGGGUCCCCCUGGCCGGUGAGCAGGCUUGCUCUUCACGCACUGGAAGGCGGAGUCCCUCGUGCUCCCCCCAGACCCCUUUCAGGCUAUUCACGCAUCGUUGCCCUCAGGGUGGGGAGUUUGGUCGCACUCUUGCUGGCAUCAGGUUUUAAUUUUGAUGAAGUCCAGUCCGUUGCUUUCUCCCCUCGGUCGUUGUGCUUGUGGAAUCUAAGAGAAACCUUCAAUUUCCCCCAGACAUCACCCGGAGCAUCAGAUCGGCAGUUCCCCAGAGCCUCCUGGGUCCCCUGCCCGUGUGCUCCUGAUACCACGGUGGGAGCGCUCUGUGAUCCCAGCGUGACGGUGUGUCCUGGGACAGUGGCUGGGAAGGUGGACAGUAGGUGGGCGAGUGACAGACAGGCAGUGAGGGCCCAUGUGUGA
rnacentral:lncRNA from 1 species